GUUAGGAAUAUUGGACAAUGGGCGAAAGCCUGAUCCAGCCAUGCCGCGUGAACGAUGAAGGCCUUCGGGUUGUAAAGUUCUUUAGCCGAUGAUUAUAAUGACUGUAGUCGGAAAAUAAGCCCCGGCUAACUUCGUGCCAGCAGCCGCGGUAAUACGAAGGGGGCGAGCGUUAUUCGGAAUCACUGGGCGUAAAGCGUGCGUAGGCGGUUUUGUAAGUUAGGACUGAAAGCCCAGGGCUCAACCUUGGAAUUGCUCUUAAAACUGCAAGGCUCGAAUCUCGGAGAGGAUAGCGGAAUUUCCAGUGUAGCAGUGAAAUGCGUAGAUAUUGGAAGGAACACCAGUGGCGUAAGCGGCUAUCUGGACGAGUAUUGACGCUGAGGCACGGAAGCGUGGGGAUCAAACAGGAUUAGAUACCCCAGUAGUCC
rnacentral:rRNA from 1 species